rnacentral:rRNA from 1 species
UACGAAGGGGGCUAGCGUUGCUCGGAAUCACUGGGCGUAAAGCGCACGUAGGCGGAUUGUUAAGUCAGGGGUGAAAUCCUGGAGCUCAACUCCAGAACUGCCUUUGAUACUGGCGAUCUUGAGUCCGGGAGAGGUGAGUGGAACUGCGAGUGUAGAGGUGAAAUUCGUAGAUAUUCGCAAGAACACCAGUGGCGAAGGCGGACUCCACUGGCCCGGUACUGACGCUGAGGUGCGAAAGCGUGGGGAGCAAACAGGGAUUAAGAAACCCCAGUAACGUC